AGAGUUUGAUCAUGGCUCAGGGUGAACGCUGGCGGCGUGCUUGACACAUGCAAGUCGAACGGUAUGUGGCAACACAUAGAGUGGCGAACGGGUGAGUAACACGUGGGAACGUACCCUACGCAGGGGGAUAACUGACCGAAAGGACAGCUAAUACCGCAUAAGACCGAAAGGUGAAAGGUGCAACUGCACCGGCGAAGGAGCGGCCCGCGGACCAUCAGCUAGUUGGUGGGGUAAGAGCCUACCAAGGCAACGACGGAUAGCCGGCGUGAGAGCGUGGCCGGCCACAAGGACACUGAGAUACGGGUCCUACUCCUACGGGAGGCAGCAGUGCGGAAUUUUAGAUAAUGGAGGCAACUCUGAUCUAGCGACGCCGCGUGCAGGAAGAAGGUCUUCGGAUUGUAAACUGCUGUGGUAAGGGAAAAAUGCCAUGUAGAGUGGAAAGCUACAUGGAGGGAUGGUACUUUACUAGAAAGCCCCGGCUAACUACGUGCCAGCAGCCGCGGUAAUACGUAGGGGGCGAGCGUUACCCGGAAUCACUGGGCGUAAAGGGAGCGUAGGUGGCCUGACAUGUCAACUGUGAAAACCCGGAGCUCAACUCCGGACUUGCAGUUGAAACUGCCAGGCUUGAGGACGGUAGAGGAAGACGGAACUGCCAGUGUAGGGGUAAAAUCCUUAGAUAUUGGCAGGAACGCCGGUGACGAAGGUGGUUUUCUGGGCCGGUUCUGACACUGAUGCUCGAAAGCCAGGGGAGCGAACGGGAUUAGAUACCCCGGUAGUCCUGGCCCUAAACGAUGUUCACUAGGUGUGGGGAGCGGAAAGCUUUCCGUGCUAAAGCUAACGCAAUAAGUGAACCGCCUGGGGAGUACGCCCGCAAGGGUGAAACUCAAAUGAAUUGACGG
rnacentral:rRNA from 1 species